CUUCACCUCCCUGCUUAAAAAAAGAAUCUAUGUAAUUAAGCAAUGCUAGGCUAGCUGAACGAAGGCUAGCUGGAGCAAUGGCAGCUGACACACUCUACCUCAGAGGUGACUACUCUACAUGGACUCAUUAGUUCCUCCAGAAAGCCAUGUGGUCACAACAAGUUUCUGCAGCUCAUCAGACCAGCCAUGGCUUAGCUGGAGGCUUCUGCUUAGGAGGUUGCAGGCCAGAUUGGGC
rnacentral:lncRNA from 1 species